UACGGAGGGUGCGAGCGUUAAUCGGAAUAACUGGGCGUAAAGGGCUCGCAGGCGGGCUUUUAAGUGAGAUGUGAAAUCCCAGGGCUUAACCUGGGAAUUGCAUUUCAGACUGGCAGUCUAGAGUACGGUAGGGAGGGGUAGAAUUCCACGUGUAGCGGUGAAAUGCGUAGAUAUUUGGAGGAAUACCGGUGGCGAAGGCGGCCCCCUGGACAAAGACUGACGCUCAGGUGCGAAAGCGUGGGGAGCAAACAGG
rnacentral:rRNA from 1 species